ACCCGUUAGGGGAGAAGAGAUCUCAAUUCAAUAUUAUCACCGUCGUCAUCGUCAACGGUUUGCUAUAGUAUCAACAGCUUAUUACUGAAGUACAAGAAACUGCUUAGGGCUUUAUUGCCAAAGCCUGUUGUAUAAUUAAAUAAUUUCCCAUUCUGAAACCAUCAGCUGCGUUUGCCCUCAAGAUUCACUCGGAAAAGAAUAUAGGUACAUUUAUUUUAUUUGUACAGUUUUCAAUAUAAGAAUUAUUUACUAA